CCUACGGGAGGCAGCAGUGAGGAAUAUUGGUCAAUGGGCUUACGCCUGAACCAGCCAAGUCGCGUGAGGGAAGACUGCCCUAUGGGUUGUAAACCUCUUUUGUCAGGGAGCACCGCCGGCUACGUGUAGCCGGACUGAGAGUACCUGAAGAAAAAGCAUCGGCUAACUCCGUGCCAGCAGCCGUGGUAAUACGGAGGAUUCGAGCGUUAUCCGGAUUUAUGGGGUUUAAAGGGUGCGUAGGCGGAAUGCCAAGUCAGCGGUAAAAUCGCGGGGCUCAGCCUCGCUCCGCCGUUGCAACUGGCGUUCUUGAGUGGGCGAGAAGUAUGCGGAAUGCGUGGUGUAGCGGUGAAAUGCAUAGAUAUCACGCAGAACUCCGAUUGCGAAGGCAGCAUACCGGCGCCCAACUGACGCUGAAGCACGAAAGCGUGGGUAUCGAACAGGAUUAGAUACCCCUGUAGUC
rnacentral:rRNA from 1 species